UACAGAGGGGGCUAGCGUUAUUCGGAAUUAUUGGGCGUAAAGAGCUCGUAGGCGGUUUGUCGCGUCUGCUGUGAAAACCCGAGGCUCAACCUCGGGCCUGCAGUGGGUACGGGCAGACUAGAGUGCGGUAGGGGAGAUUGGAAUUCCUGGUGUAGCGGUGGAAUGCGCAGAUAUCAGGAGGAACACCGAUGGCGAAGGCAGAUCUCUGGGCCGUAACUGACGCUGAGGAGCGAAAGCGUGGGGAGCGAACAGG
rnacentral:rRNA from 1 species